rnacentral:lncRNA from 1 species
CAGACUGGUAUAGGGCAACACAGGCAAUGGAAUGUCUUGGAUUGAUAAGUCUUGUUUUGGCUUUACUGAUCCUGUUAUUGUACUUCUGUGUACCAUCAUGUAAAGUACGGAAGGCACUCUAUGGAAUGAUUUUCUUCACAUUUUUAGCAGGUAAUUGCACAUUGUUUCUCUUCGUGUUACUCUAAAUAAUAUUAAAAUAUUUAGAAUUUUUUGAGUAAUUAUCAAUAUUAAUAUUCUGAAACAUAGCAUCGAUGUGUGAACAAAACCAACAGACAUAAAAGGUAAAAAUGUCAAAAAUAGAGGGUUCGAUCAGCUGUCAAUAUUAUGUUGUAAUCUUAAAAUCUCUAUGAGUACGUUCUUAAAAUACUGUUUACAAAGUUAAAAUGGUAAUGAUGCUUAUCUUUUUUGUCUCUUUUCAGUAAUGUUUAUUGUGAUUGGAAUUGCAAUUUUCGGUUCGAAGUUCGACGAGAAAGGAUUUGACGUCGGAUGGUCGAUGGGAUUAGCGAUUGCUGCGGCCUUGUUAGCAUUUAUCUCAGGAAUUUUACAAAUUUUAGAGAUGACAUAAUAAUUUAUUUUUAAGUGUGUAUGGGUGUUUCAUGUUGUAUAAUCAUUAUAAAUUGUUUGUUGUAUGUUUCACUGUUUUGAAAUGUUACAUACUACAAGUUUUGUUGUCAU